rnacentral:rRNA from 1 species
CAAUAGCAUAUAUUAACGUUGUUGCAGUUGAAAAGCUCGUAGUUGAACUUUUGGUAGGAGCGACCUGGCCUUGGGCGCAUGCCCUUGUUUGCCGUGUGUCGUGUCUGGCCAUCCUUUUCUUCUUUGGAAGGAAUCUUUUACUGUGAGUAAACUGGAGUGCUCAAAACAAGACGUUUGUUUGGUACAUUAAAGCAUGGAAUAAUAAGAUAGGACCUGGUUACUAUUUUGUUGGUUUGCAUAGCUAGGUAAUGAUUAACAGGGACAGUUGGGGGUAUUCGUAUUUAAUUGUCAGAGGUGAAAUUCUUGGAUUUAUGAAGGACGAACGACUGCGAAAGCAUUUACCAAGGAUGUUUUCAUUAA